rnacentral:lncRNA from 10 species
GGCCAGGAAAUAUAGUCAAUAUAUGUGCCCAGAAGGGCAGAGUACUAGAAAAACUCAAUGAACAGCUCUAAUGACUAUAACGCCACCACGCUAUUUCUCGUAUUUAUAAUAAAUAUGUGCUGAGAGAAUAAAUGAAUGAAUCAAUCAAAAACUAACAGAGCCAAUAUGAAUAAAAUGAAAAUGUGAACUAUAUAAAGAUAUACAAUUCUAUUUAGUAAAUAUAUAUUUAUGAACAAUAGAAUAAAAAGAAAAUUUUGAAGAAAUUCUAGUCAAUGAAAUGUUUAUAAGCUUUUAAAAUCUUUUCCCUUAAUAACUACUUGAUAGCCUUCUUUAUUACAUUACAGAGCUAUUACAUAAAUUUAAAUUACAUAUUUUGCUGUAAAAAUACAUGCAAAAGGAAUGACAAUUUUGAACGUGAUUUUGGUAUCCAUGUUUCUAUGAGUAGAAAUUAUCAUUUUACCAUUGGUGGUUGUAUUAGACAACUCAGAUUGCCAUAACAAAAUACCACAGCCUAGCUGGAUUAACCAACACAAUUUAUUCUCACAGUUCUGGAGGUUAGAAGUCCAAGAUCAAGGUGCCAUCAGGAUUGAUUUCUUGUGAGGCCUUUCUUCCUGGCUUGCUGUGUCCUCAGAUGGCUCUUCAUCUGUGUAUGUGCAGAGAGAAAAAGAUUUCUCUGGUGGCCUUCUAAAAAAAAAUCAGUCUUCAGAGGCAAAGUUGGACAUCCCAAAGAUGGCAUAGAUAAACAUGACCAGGAAGAGCAGGAGGCCGAUGUUAAACAACGCAGGAAGGGACAUCAUCAAAGCAAAGAGCAGCGUGCGGAUCCCCUUUGCUCCUUUGAUCAGACGUAGGAUUCGGCCAAUCCUGGCAAGACGGAUCACUCGGAACAAGAAACGAGUGGGUCUACAGAGGGAUGAUGGCUUAUGCUCUACAAAUGCACGCUGAAAAGCAGGUUUUAAGAUGCAACAUUCUCCAGGCCUAAUUCAGCCGCAGAAAACAUGCCUGGCUGUAGCAGAAGCCCGGCGCAAUGCUGUGGAAGCCGCACGCUGAUCCAAGAACCAUGUCCUCAAAGACAUGGUACCUGAAUAUGAAGUUUUCAAGAAGGUUAACUACAAAUACCACUCACAGGAAUGGGUUAUUUCAACAUAAGAAACAAUAGAGUUAAC